UCGGAAGAAGACGUUAUCAGAGAUAUGGGAGGCACUAUUGUAGCGGGUUUCGACUCAACCGCCCACGUUCUGUCCUGGGCUCUUUAUUUCUUGGGAAGAUUCCACGAUAUACAAGAGAAAGUGUAUCUAGAAUUGCAAGAAAUUUUUAAAAAUGAUUUCAAUAGAAAUAUUACUAUCGAUGACCUGACGAAAAUGACGUACUUAGAAUGCGUAAUUAAGGAGUCUAUGAG